rnacentral:lncRNA from 1 species
UAACAUGAAAAAGAUGAGGAAAACUGGGAUGCAAAUUUUAGUUAAAUGUUAGCACUCAUGUUAUUGAAAAAAGUCAUUUAACUUUGUGUGUUACUGUUUCUGCCUUUGAAAUGGUGUCUCUACCUAAUGUAAGCAAGUAGUGGGAUCCAAAAGAAAUACAUUUUCCAUGUUUGUUUCAGUCUCACAAAGUUCUUUUCCAGCUAGCAUUUUCCUUUGAAGAACAGAAGACCCAAAGAGGGAAAACUUACUCUGGGCCCUGUUUAGAGUCUGGAAUAGGGUUAACUCAAGGAAAAGUCAACUGUUGCUUAGAGUCGCCAAUUCUGAGUACUCUCAAGAAUAAUACUUCAAAGAAAGUGUACCAACACUCCUCAAAAUCCAAGAGUGCCAAGAAUGCUGUAGGCUCACAGAAAACAGGACUUACCGGCAGCUGUGAUGUCUUUGAGAGAUAGUAAUAUCCUCACCACUUUAGAGUAAACAGAUAUACUUUUGCUGUAAUAAUUCAAGGAGAAAGCAAGAACUUCUAGAGAAACACUGUAUCCUGACCUGAGUGACAGAGGAUGGGAUCCACAGCUCAAGUGGAGCCACAAGCAUAGGAGAAGAAAGAGGGACAUUGCCCCAUGUUGAAAGGUGUCAGGAAUUUUGUCCAAGCAAUGGGAAAGUGACUAAUACAGGGAC